AUUUAGUACAUUAGAAAACAUAUAGCAAGUUACCAAAUCUAAGAGUUAGAACUGGUCAGACUUCUGCCAAGUUACUUAAGUAAAAGAAUGGGUAACAACAUUAGAAAUUUUAAAAAAGCAUGUAUUCAAAAAAGCUAAAAAAAGGUAGGAAAUAUAGUUUAUAUUAUCACAAAAAACUUUAUUGAAAUGGAUGAUUUUCUAGGAAAUUUAAAAUUACUAAUUUUAAUUUUAGAAUAGUUGAAAAACACAGAAAAUAAAAACAUGUUAAAACAGAUGGUUGUACAGGAAAUUCACUUAAAUGUCUUAAGGAACAGAAAAUGAUCAUGUUAAUAAUCAUAGAUGGAAAACCUACCAAUCAAGCAUAAUCUUUAUAUCAAAAGCUAGCACAAGUGAUGAAUAAAAUUAUAGGUCAAUUUCACAUGUGAACAUAAAUAUGAAAAUGAUUAAAAAAGGGACCCUCCAUUAAAAUUAUAAAAACUAUAUCAUGACCAACAAAGUCUUAGUACUCCAUUUUAAGGAUGGUACCAAAUUAGGAAAUAUAUAAUUAAAACUUAUCACAUCAGGAGGUCACUGGAGAAGAAUCUGUAAUCAUCUACCAAAAAGACAUUUGAUAAAACAUAACAUCCAGUACUGACAAAAACUAUGAUUAAAAUAGGCAUAGAAGGAUAAUUAAUUAUCUCGGUGGUUCUCAACCAGGGACAUUUUUGUCUUGAGGAGACAUUGGCAAUUUCUGGAAACAUUUUCAUUGCCAUGAUUUGAAAAUGGUGCUAUUGAUUGUGAAGAGGCACAGGUCAAGGAUACUCCUUACUAAACAUCUCAAAAUGCACAGGAAAAUGUUUCCCUCCCCCUAUGAAGAAUUACCGAACUCCUAAUAUUGAUGAUACCAAGAUUGAGAGUUGGUUUAUGUGACAGUCAACCUCAUAACUACAAUGAGUACCAUACUAAAAACUGAAAAAUUGCAGGAAUUCUUGUUUCAGCCUUACAAGUCUAGGAUAAUUAUCCAAUGAACAAUAUAAUCAAAGCAAUAAAAAGAAGUGAGGAUUAAGUACUGGAAUGAUCAAAGCAUAGUAUUAUUUUGUGACAAUGUGAAAAAACCCAACAACAUUAUUGGAAAUACUCUUAUGCCAUAUAAAGGAGUUCAAUAAUAUCAAAUCUAAAGUUAGUAUGGGUGGGGGAAUAUAAUAAUACUUUUUCAGAUAAAAAAUUAAUUUAUAAACCCAUGAUGAACAAAAGAGUGAUACAUCAAAAUAAUCAGUUAAAUCAAUGGAAAUAAAGUCAAUAAAUAAGCAUAACUAUAGUAAAAGGGGAUGCACUAAAUAGUACAUAGAAGAAUAGCUUAAUAGCUAGGGAUGUAGCUCAGUGGUGCCAUGCCUGCCUCACAAGUGCAAGGUCCUGAGUUUGAUCUCUGGUACAGGAAAAAAGAAGAAAAGAAAGAAAAAGAAGAAUUUGUUAAAAAGGACAAGAUAUAAUAAUUGUACAUCAUCAUGUGCUUAACAAUAGAGCUUUGGAAAAUAUGAAACAAAACUAAUAGAAAUACAUAAAGAUAGUACAUAUUUGUGGGACAAAUUUCAUACUUCUUGAAGAAAUAAAUAUUUCAAAUAGACAAAACUAACAGUGUAUAGAAUAUAGAUGACAUGACCAAUAGCUUUAUACUAACAAACUUAUAGUGCACAUUCAUUUCAGACACACAUAAAUCAUUCAAACAAAUUGAUAACAGAAGAGAUCAUAAAGGAAAUCACAGCAAAUCUGAAAAAGUAGAAAUUAUAGAGGCUUCUUUAUUCCCUGAAUAAAUGAGAAAAGAACUAGAAGAGAUUAAAUCAAUCACUAUAAAUCAUAUAUAGAAACACUUACCAAAAAAUCUUGCAUUAAUAAGGAAAUGAAAAUUAUACACUACUUAGAAAUAAGCCACUAGAGCAUUAAAUAGUAAAACCUGUGAGAUGUGGCCAAAGCAGUUAUUAAAGGUCAAUUUAUGGACAUAAAUGCAUAAAUUAGAAAAUGAGGGAAAUUGAAAUCAAAUGUACCAAAAUAAUAUUUAGGAUACUAGGAAGAACAACAGAAACAAGAAAAAAAUAUCAAAUCUCCAGAGAGUAGAAGGAAGGACCUAAUGAAGAUUAAAAACUGACAGCAAUAAAAUAAGACCAACAAAGGCAGUGAAAUUGAGAAAAACAUCUUUAAGUUUGUUUAGGAAAAAAGGGUAUAAAUGAAUAGUAUCAUAAAGAGAUAAAAUGGUAUAAUUACAGAUCAGAAGGAAUAGUGUCUUUAUAUCAAUAACUGAGAAAAUAGAUGAAAUACCAAUUUUCUAAAAAAACAUACAAAUUAGCAACAUUAGCUCAAGAUGUAGUAGGCAUCCUAAACGUGCUAUUUCUACUGAUGAUGUGGGAAUGUCAGUUAAAGAUAUUCUUUUAGGAAAACCAUUAAGCUUGGAUGGUUCUAUUAUUUGACUUUAUUACACUUUUAGAAAAUAGAUAAUCAUUAUGUUGUAAAUUGGAAAGUUACCUUCUGAAUUAGUAUAAAUUUGAUAUUACAAUCAUAGCAGAAGCCAAAGCAUUUUUGCUGAUUAUUCUUUCAUGAUAAACAAGAAUCACCUCUUCAAAUAUUUGUUUCCCACAUGAGCUGUAAAAGAAAAAUUAUUAAGGGAAAAAUGUCUAUCAGAAAUCCAUACCAGUGACUAAACUAUGAAGAGUACUUCCAUUCAAAGCAUGACCUAGAGAAGGUUUCCUAUUAGUUCUACAUUGAAUAUUCUAUUGAAGUUCCAACCCCAUGCUAUAUAACAAGAAAAAAUUAAAAAGUCAUGUAGAUAAUGUAAAGAAAGAGAUAAUAGCAUCAUUUUGAUUUUUUUCAGCCAACUUCCCUAAGAAAGGGUAAGAUACAAUCAGUUGAGAAAUCAUUAGAGUUAUUAAGAAAGUUUCAUAUAAUGGCCCAAUACAAAAUAAAUAUAUAAAAAUGGAUAGCUUUUGAUACACAAGUACUAUCUCAUUAGAAAAAGUAAUAGACAAAAUAACCCAAUUUACAUAGCAUGAAAACUACAAAAUAUCUAGAAAAAAACAUUAGAUUAUUGAAAGGCAUAAUAGGCCCAAGUAAGAACCAUCAAGACAUAUUAUAAUCAUAUAUUGGUUCAAGUAGAAUGGUAUCCAUGCUAAAGAUUUGACUAGAGCAGUAUAAUAGUCUGGAAAAAGAUCCCUGUUUAUAUGCAUAUUAUUUUGUGAAAGUAGCAUUUCAUAUUAGUGAGAAAAAGAAUGAAUAAAUAGUAUGAAAAUAUGAGAUACCACUUGGAAAAGAAUCUAUCUAUCAUCUAUCUAUCUAUCUAUCUAUCUAUCUAUCUAUCUAUCUAUCUGUUACGGUACUGGGGAUUAAAACGGGUUUUGGCACGAGUGCACUGAGUUUACAUUUCCAGCCCUUAAAAAAAUUAUUUUGAGGUAGGAUCUGGCUAAGUUGUUCCAGGUUGGGCUGGGAUUUGAGAUCCUCCUGCCUUAGUCUCCCAGUACUUGGAUUAGGGUGUGCACCACUAUACCUUGCUGAAAAAUAUUGUAUUUUUUAAUGUUACUUUACUUGUCAGAGUAAGUUCCAGUGUUUUACAAAAACAAAACCUUUUAGGUUAACUUUUUAAGUUAGUAAAAUAUUAAAUACAUUAGCUAUAGAAGCAAAUAGAAGUCUGUCUCAAUAAAAUUGUAAGGUUCAUAAACAUUGAUCUCCUCGAAAUAGAAAGUAGAAUAUGGCCACUGGAGGCCAGAAUGAGUAGGUGGGAGAGAGAUGGAGGGAGGUUGGACAGUGAGUAUCAAAAUGAAUUUAGUUAGAAGGAAUAAAUUCAAGUGUUUUAUAACUCCAUAGUGUGAUAAAGUUUUAUAUGUGUUUUAUAAAGCACUAGAAGAGAGGAGUUGGAAGUCUACCAGUACAAAGAAAUGAUAAAUGUUUAAAGAGGUUGAAAUGCUAAUUACCCUGGUUUUAUCAUCACAUAUUGUAUCACAUAUCAAAUUGUAACCUUAUACCCCAUAAAUAUGUACAAAAACUUCCAUAUGACAAAAGAUACUAUGAACAAAAUUAAUAGAGUACAUGCUAGUGGAAAUAUUUACAAUAUCUGUAAUAAGCAGAAGAUUAAUAUCUAACAUAUGUAUAAAAUUUGGAAAUAAAAAGUAAAAAUCAUCAACCCAAAAGGAAAAUAAGAAAUGGAUUCUUGUUCUAUUUUUUUCUGCAGUACAGCUUUGCAAUUCUUCCAGGAAAGAUGUGGUGAACUUUGAGUCCUUAAACAAUUUAAAAUGUUUUUCUUUUGCCUUAAGGCUUGACUGAUAUUUUGGAUGGGUAUAGAAAUGUAAAUGUAGUAUAAUUUUCUUUCAAAAUUUGAAGGUGUUGCUCAAAAACAGUCAGAUGUCAGUGUGAUCCUUGUUCUUCUGCAAGUAAACUUUUUUUUCUAAAAAGUUUUUUAAUGUGCUUUCUGAAUUUCAGAGGGAUAACUUUGUAACUUUCUCCUGUUACCCUGCUUGGUAUUUAUGGAUUUUAUUGUUAACUCAAAGACUUUAUUUUCUUCUUCAGGUCUUGAAAAUUUUCAUUUAUUAGUUCUCUGAUUUUUUUUCCUUUCUGCCAGUCUAUUUUUUCCCAUUACCUCUCUGGGAUUUAGAUUUCAGGACUUUUGAAUUUACCUUCCAAGUCUCUUUUGCUAUGUCUCUGUCUCUGUUUUUCCCUUCCUUUCUCCUUUCCUUAGUUAAUUCCUUCCUUCCUUGGUAUAAUUUUGUCCUGUGUUUUAUUUUGGGGAAAUCAAUAUUCUACCUCAUUAAUUUACCCUUCAGCUAUGCCCAUUAGCUAUUUAACCAAGUGUCAUUUUCUUUUAAAACUGAACUGUCAUACUUUUUUGUCUUUGGGAUUUUAAAUUGUUUUUUUUUUUUUUUUGGUACCAGGGAUUGAACUCGGGUCCUUGCACUUGCGUGCCAGGUGGUGAAACCACUGAGCUAAAUCCCGGGCCCUUAAAUUGACAUUUUAAAAAUUAAUUUUAUUGGUACAUUUUAGGUAUACAAUAUAAUAACACUCAUCAUUGGAGAUUUGUACCUUUACAUAAUAUAUCUUGAUUCUUAUUUUAAAUUGAUUUUUGAAAUAGCCUACUUCACAGUCCAAAGAUAUCAUUAUAUUUUGUUAUUACUUUACUUGAAGUUGAAUCCUAUAUACUCUAUUGACUCAAUUGACACUACUGAUAUUUUAAAAAAUGUGUUGAAUAUGGCACCCAUGAACUAGGUUCACAGCGCACUGGGUACCGCUUCGGCCUGCUGUAUCUUGGGCUGUAAUUUCCAUUACUUGUAUGAGUUUGGUGAGAAAGAACUUAUACAACAUUUUAAGCAGAGCAACUUUAUUACAAAUAUAGGCAACAGAUGAUAGUAGAAGGCUAAGGAAAGUUGCUCUGAGAAGACAGAAUCUCACCUGUGUUCCCACCUUGCCAAACAGCUGAGAAACCCUAGAAAUCAGCCCCCUGUGCUUUAUCCCUGGGGUAACAUGACUAGCAGGGAUGAAGCAGUUUCUACGUGUCUCAGAAUGUUGAAUUUCCAGUACAUUCUGCAAUUAUUCUAAAGAACUACAAGCAAGAAAGUUGGGGAAACCGAGUUAGUCCAAGAAAGACCCUCCCCAAAGAAUUAUCCUACAUUCACUGACUGGGAUAGAUUUCCUAAAUGUUCAGUUGUCCUUGGCAAUAUCAUUGUUUUUAUAAUUAAGAACCUCAGUUAAUUUUUUCCAUAAUUUUAGAUGUAUAGCUUGAUCAGUUUUGACAAACGUAUCCAAUUAGGUAAAUAUCAAUACAAUCAAUGGAGACAUUAUUUGUAUUUUGCCAAAUUUCUUUUCUGCUCCUUUUUAGUAAUUCUGCUCCCCAUAUAUUGGCAACCACUUAUCUGUUCAUACUUCCUCUAGUUCUGCCUUUAUACUUCUGAGUCUGGCUUCAUUCGUUUAACUUAAGACUUUGAGCUGCUUCUAUAUUGUUGCAUUUAGAAUUCCAUUGUAUGGAUAUAGUACUACAAUUUGUUAAUGUGUUCACCAGUUGAUGGGCAUUUGGAUUGUUUCAGUUUUUGUGAUUACAAAUAACUGCAUAUGUCUUCAUUUCUCUGGUAAAUAGCUAAGGUGUAGAAUCGCUAGAGCAUAUAGUGAGUAUAUGUUUAACUUUAUGAGAAGCGUUAAUAUUUUCCUACUGACUAUGCUUUACAAAAAACUUUUUAUUUUGAGGUAAUUGUAGAUUCAUGUGCAGUUGUAAGAAAGAAUUCCAUGUUUCUUUUACCCAGUUUUUACAAUAGAAACAUGCUACAUAUCUGUAGUGGAAUAUAACCACCAACAUAUUGACAUUGAACUAAUCAGGAUGCAGGAUAGCUGCAUACCAUGAAAAUCCUCCUGACGUUCUUCUCCAUCCCCAGGGUCCUAGAUCCCACAGUCACUAAUCUAUGCUCCAUGUAUUUGUUAAAGAUGUCCAUAGAGAAUGCUAUAUAAUGGGAUGAUACCAUGUUACACUAACAGACUCAUAGAUAACAUUGUCGGGGAUUUAUCUUUCUUCAUAUAGCAUAAAUUCCUGGAGAUGUACAAAAGUUGUUGUAUGUCAUCAGUUGCUCACUCCUUUUUGUUGCUGAGUAGUUUUCCACAGUUUGCUUAACCAUUCACCUAUCGAGGGGCAUCUGGACUGUUUCCAGUGGGUGAUCACAAAUAAAGCUUCUGUAAACAUAUCUCUACAGGUUUUAUGUGACCAUAAGUUUUCUCUGUCUGGGAUAAAUGCCUGAGAGUACAAUUGCUGGAUCAUAUGGGAGUUAUAUAUUUAGUUUCUUAAAGAAACUGCCAAACUGUUUUUCCAGAGUGCCUUACCAUUUUGUAUUCUCACAAACAAUGCAUAAGUGAUGUAGUUUUUCUGAAUCCUCACUAGCAUUUGGUGGUGUCAUUAGUUUUUAUUUUGGCCAUUCUGAUAGGUGUGUAGAGACCUUUCAUUACAGUUUUAAUUUACAUUUCCUUUGUGGCUAAUGCUGUUGACUGGAUUUGACAUCUGUACACUCUCUUCAAUGAAAUGUCUUUCUGUCUUUUAUUCAUUUUCCAAUUUGGUAAUUUGUAUUUUGACUGUAGAGCUCCAAGGGUUCUUUCUAUAGGUUAGAUGUUAGGACUUUGUUGAAUAUAUUUGUUAGAAAUAUUUUCUCUCAGUCUGCGGCUUGUCUUUUCACCCUCUUGAUAUGAUUUUUUUGAAGAGCAAAAUUUAAAAUUUUGAUGAAGUACGUGUUAUCAAUUUUUUUUCUUUUAUGAUCAUGCUUCUGGUGUCGAGUCCAAGAACAUUUUGCCUAGUCCUAGGUCCUGAAGAUGUUCUUUUAUUUUCUUCCUAAAAGUUUUAUAGCUUUACCUUUUACAUUUAAGUCUGAGACUGUGAUUCAUUUUGAGUACUUUUUAAAAAAAAGUAUAAGACUUGAAUUGGGGCUCAUUUUUUUCCUGUACAAAUAUUUAUUUGUUCUAGCACCACUGAAUUGCUUUACAUCUGUAUCAAAAAACCAGUUAUAUAUAUUUGUGUGGAUCUAUUUCUGGCUUCCUUACUCUGUUUUCUGUGUCUCCCUGUAUCAAUAUCACAAUAUAUUUAUUGCAUUAGUGGUGAAGUAAACUUUGAUGUUGGGUAGAGUGAUUCUUCAUUCUUUUAAAAAGUUUUUCUUUAUUCCUUUUCAAGAUUGUUUUGAGUUUCCUAAGAUUUGUGUUUGUCCAUAUAAACUUUAGAACAAGCUUGUCCAUGUCCAGAAAAAUCCAUUACGCUAGCAUGAUAGAAGUUGCAUCUAAACUGUAAAUUGUUUUGGAGAGAUCUUUACUAUGUUGAACCUUACAAUCCAUGGUACUGGUAUAUCUCUAUAUUUACUUAGGUUCAUUUUGAUUUCAUUCAUUAGUAUUUUAUAAUUUUCAGCAUACAGGUCAUAUACAAGUUUUGUUAAGUUUUUAUCUAAAUGCCAUUUUUUUUCUGGAGAGAUUCCAAGUAAUAUUAUGUUUUAAACUUCAGUUACUUCAUAUCUGGGUGUAAGUGCACAGAAACACAAUUGAGUUUUGUUUGUUUGUCUUUUAUCUUGUGACCUUGCUAACUCAUUCAUUAAUUAUAGGUCUGUUUUUAUGAAUCCCUUUGUAUUUUCUACGUAGAUAAUUACGUUGUUUUCAAAUAAGAAUGAUUUUAUUUUUUCUUUCCAAUUUGUGUUAUUCUCAUUUCCAUAUUGCAGCAGCAGAAUGUCUAGUGCUGUAUUCAAUAAAGGUGGUAAGAGUGACUUUUGCCUCAUUUUUGGCCCUACAGGGAAGUAGUAGGUGUUUUACCAUUAAGUGUGGUGUUAUUAUAGAGUUUUUUUUUUUUUUUCCAGUACUGGGAAUUGAACUCAGGACCUUGUACUUGACAGGCAGGCGUGGCCCCACUGAGUUAAAUCCCUAGCUCUAUUGUAGUGGUUUUUUGUGGAUGCCCCUUAUCAAAUUGAGGUGGUUCCCCUCUAUUCCUAAAUUGCUGAGAAUUUUUGUUCUAAAUGAGUAUUAAAUCUUGUCAAAUGUUUUUGGUUUAUCAAUCUAUAUGAUCAUAUAAUUUUUCUUCUUUAACUUGUUGAUAUGACAAACUGCACUGAUGGAUUCCAGCCUUGCAUACCUGGAAUCAAUUGCCUUUGGCCAUGGGAUAUGAUUAUUUUAAUACAUAAUUAGAUUUGAUUUGCUAAUAUUUUGUUGAAGAUUUUUGUGUCUAAAUUCAUGAGAAGUAUUAGUCUGCAAUUUUUUAUUUUUCUUUUGAAAAGUUUCUUGUAAGGCUUUGGUAUUGGAUAAUACUGGGUCUACAAAAUGGGUUGGGAAAUAUUCUAUCCUUUUCUGUUUCUAGAGUAGAUUAUGUAAAGUCAGUGUUAUUGAUGUUAAUUUUUCUUUAAAUGUUUGGGAGAAUUCUCCAGUAAAACUGUGAGAGCCUGGAGAUCGACUCUUUCCUUCCCUCUCCCUCUCCCCUACCAUUUUCUCUGUUUCUUUCAAAAGGGAAGAUUUUAAAGUAUGAACACAACGUCUACAAUGGUUAUAGGUCUAUUCACGUUAUGUAUUUGAUUUGAUUGAGUUUUGUUUAUGAGUUUGGAAGAAUUGGUCCAUUUCUCUCUCAGUUGUCAAAUUUAUGAGGAAAAAAUUGCUUGUAGUUGUCAUUUUUAAAAUGGUUCCAAGAUCUGUGGAGAUACUCUUUCUUUCAUUCCUGAUACUGGUAGGUCAUAUUUUCCUUCUUUUUAUUUUUGAUUCUUACUACAGGUUUAUUGAUUUUUGUCAAUUCUGUCAAUCUGUUUUUGUUUUAUGGAUUUUCUCUAUUGUUAGCCCACUUUCAUUGAUUUCUUCUUUGUUACUUAUUUAUUUUUCUCUGUUUUAUUUUUCUUUUUGCAUUUCUGUUUUUCUUUAUUCAGGAAGACAUAUAGAUUAUAGAUUUUAGGCCUUUCCUCUUUCCAAUAUAUGAAUUUAGUACUAUAAAAUUUCCUUCUAUCGGUAGUAUUACAUUAGCUGUGUCCCAUAUAGUUUGAUAUGUUGCAUUUUCAUUUUAUUCAGUUAUGUGCUAUUAAAAUUAAUUUCCUUUGAGGCUUUGUCAUUGACUAAUGGGUUAUUUAGAAGUGUGACAUUUAAUUUUCUAUUGUUUAAAGACAUUUCCAUUGUCUUUUUACUUUUUCUCAUGUCCAGUUUGAUUUUGCUAUGGUCAAAAAACAUAUAUAUAAUUUGUAUAAUUUAAAUUCUUUUAUAGUUAUUGAGGUUUGUCUUAUGGUCUUGGUUUAUCUUGGUAAAUCUUUCAUAGGCCUUUGAAAAUGGGGUGCAGUAUUAUAUAUAUAGUUGACUCUUUCUAUCAAUGGGUUCUGCAUCUGUGAAUUUACCCAAACAUGGAUUGAAAAUAUUUAAAAAAAUUGUAUCUGUAUUGAACAUGUGCAGACCCUUUUCUUGUUAUUACCUGAUUAUUCUCCAGACAGUAAAGCAUGGCAAUAAUUUAUAUGACAUUUAUAUUGGAUUAGGUAUUAUAAGAAAUCUAGUUAUGAUCUGAAGUACAAGGGAGGAUAUGUAUACACCUUACAUAAAUUCCAUACCAUUUUAUACAAAACACUGGAGCAUUCAUGAAUUUUGGUGUGUGUAGGAUUCCUGGAACCAUUCCCCCAUGGAUACUAAAGGUCAACUAUAUAUGCUAAUAAGAUCUUGAUGAUCGAUUGCUUUGUUCAGAUCACUACAGUUCUUUCUGAUUUUCUGUGUAGUAGUCCUAUCAGUUGUUGAGGGUGUGAAUUUCCCCAACUAUAACUGUGGAUUAUCUUUUUGUAUAUUCACCUCUAUCAGUUUUUGUUUCAUGUAUUUAGAGCUUUGCUUGUUGUGUACAUAUCUACAAUGUUAUAUCUUCUUGGAUAAUUGAUUUUGUUAUUCAUCCCUUUUUGUCGAGCAAUUUUCUGAGGUCCAUUUUAUUGAUACUAAUAUAACCACUCAUGAUUUUUAGAAAUUAAUAUUUUAUUUUUUUAUCUUCUUAUUUUCAACAUAUUUAUGUUGUUUAAUUUGAAAUAAGUUACUUAUAAAAAGCAUGUGGUUGGGUCAUGAUUAUUUUAGGCACUCAAUCAUUGACUUUUAAUUGGUAUAUUUGGCCACUUUAUUUUAUUUUGUUUUUUCUUUCCUCUUUUUCUCCACACUUGUCUCUGUGUGGGUGACUUAAAAAUGUUUAAGUUUAAAUGUUUAAUGAUCUUGAUUUAUAGUAGUUUUUCAUAUAAAAUUUUGUAUAAUUUUCUUUUUUGUUGCGAUGAAUAUCAGAACAUCAACAUGUGAUUUAUCGCUAAUGUAGACUAUUAUAUCAACAUUUUAUCAACUGAGUAAAUACUGGAAAUUUUACAUUUAAGUCCUUUUAUGAAAUAACCUAACUUUUAAAUAUCAUGUCUUGUAUAUAUUUUUAUUCAGUGCCUUUUGUUUUUUUUUGGUACCGGGGGAUCGAACUCAGGUCCUUGCGCUUGCGAGGCAGGCGGUGGAACCACUGAGCUAAAUCCCCAGCCCUUGUAUAUAUUUUUAAAAAUAGUUUUUGUUGCAAUUGUCAUAUGUGAUUAAAAAAAAACCGUGAAAGAAGCAGGGUAUAUUGUAUUUAGCCACGCUGUGGUCUUUCUAUUUUUUGUUUUCUUCCUUCUUGAUGUUCUGAGAUUUGUUCUAUUGUUGUUUCAUUUCUAUUUGAAGAAUUUCACGUAGACAUACUUUAUGGGUGGGUCUGUUCUUUUAAGUUCUUUUAGUUUCCUUUCCUCUGAGAAUUUAUUUCUCCAUUAUUCCCAAGGGAUAGUUUUGCUGGGAAUGGACUUCUUAGUUAAUAAGUCUUUUAGCAGUUGAAAAAUGUGCUAUGUUUUUCUGGUCUUCGUGAUUUCAAAUGGGAAAUCUUAUGACAUUCAAUUUGGUGUUUUCCUUAGGUAAUAUUUUUAUUUUUCUCUUGCUGAUCUCCAGAUUUUCCUCAGUCUUUCUUUUCAAAAGUUCCAAUAUGUUGUGUCUUCCUCUGACCUAUUUUUGGGUUUAACUCUUCGAGGUUUGUUGCAUUUUUGAAUCCGUGUGCUUAUAUCUUUUGCUAAAUCUGGGAGAUUUUUAGCUAUUUCUUUGAAUGUUCUUUGAGUACCACUCUACUUGUCAUCUUCAGGGACACCAAUGAUGCAUUGUUGAGUCUUUGGUUAUUGUCCACAAGUCUCUGUUAAUUUUUUCAAUUUAGUUUUUUCAUGUUGUUCAGAAUGGGUAGAUUCCAGUGGUCUUUCCUCAGGUUUACUGACUUUCUCUGCCAUCUCUAUUAAAUAUUGAGUUUACCUAGCAAGUUUUGUAUUUCAAUUAUUGAAUUUUCCAUUUCUGUAAUUUAUAUUUCAUCCUUUUAAAUGAGCUGUAUUUAUCUACUCAAUUUUACUGACUGUUCUAACUUUUCAUUUGUUUCAAGACCAUGUGUAAUUUCUUGUGGAACCACUUUUGUGAUGCUUAUUAUUGUCAGUCCAUUUCAAUAUCAGGCUUACUGCAGUAUUGGCAUUUGUGGAUUGUCUUUCAUUCAAGUGGUGAUUUUGAUGGCUGUUGAUAGGAUAAGUGACUUUUGAUUGUAUUCUGAAAAUUUUGGCUUUUAUUUUAGAAGACUCUGGAUCCUAUUUAAACUUUUAUGUGAACAAGCAGUCGGUAUGUUUAGGUUAGGUUUAUUUUACAGGCCCUAGUCUACUUUUAGGGCUGUGGUUUAAUUUUUAGAGUCAAUGUGGUGUUAUUUUGGUACUGGUCCCUGCUUAUUCUUGAAUGGGAAGAAAAAUUUCCCCAGGCUGGGACUUCUGAUAAAUCCUUUUGGAGAAGGGUCUCUUACAUAGACAAAGAACACCUCCCAGACUGGAACUUGGGUGAUGGGUUCCCCAUAUCUGUGGGGGAUGGAGAGAGCUUCUUGGACCAUGUGACUGUUAUGAAAAGAUCCCUUACGACUUCAUAGUGUCUCUGAGUGGUAGAAGAGAAUCUAGACCCUGUGAGGAGAAAGAUUUAUUGUUGGUCUAGGGUUACAUUUUAUGCUAUGAACCCCUUGGUAGUGCCUCUAGGUGGGGGUUGCACAGUGUCUUUGAGUGGUGGGUGGGAGUCUCAGGCCUAACACCUCAGUUAGUUUUUAAUCUUUUGCUGCUGCUGGCCCCCAUGUAUGGAGGGUGGGGAGCCGAGCCAUGUUGAGUGAGCAUUGUCCUAUCUUCCUGGGUUAGACACUCAUGAACAUUGCCUGUUCUCUGAAUAUAUGCUGCUUGACACAUUGGCCACUGGAAAGAAAUAGUUGGGGGCAACCCACCUGGCUUCUCCUAACAAAGCUCUUCUAGAAUAAACAUGCAUUCUCCUAACAUGUUCUGCAGGUGCUCAGGGUGUCCCACCUAAGCCUGGCACUUCUUUGGCCCUCCUCACAUCAUUUUUUGUCGUUCUUUUCUGAGUAUAUGUUUUCUUUCUCAAUCAACUUUCAUCUUCUCUUUAUAUUUCAAGACGUCCUCAUGCCUUUGGGUCUACUAAAGAGACCCCUUUCUGUAUUUCAGGGGAGAGUAGAAGGGUACUUAUGCCAGGUGUCACAUGUCACUUACCGAUGGUGAUACAUUCUGAGAAGUGUGUCAUUAAAUUAUUUUAUAAUAUGAAUAUUAUAGAGUCUACUUACACAAACUUGGAUGAGUAUAGUUUACUGAUACCAAGGCUAUUUAAUAUAGCCACACAUAUGUUGGUUAUAUCUAAUCAGGUCAACAGACACACACACAGAGACACACACACACACAGAGAGAGAGAGAGAGAGGGAGGGAGAGAGAGAGAGGCAGAAAGACGUAGAAACAGAGCAAUAGACUGAAAAUACAAUUUACUGCUAUCAUUGUUAAAAGAUACGCAGUUCAUGUUGGACUGAAAUGUCAUUACAUUUCAGACUUUGAGAGUAGAAGUUUAGCUUCCCAUCUUCACUUAAUCUCUUUUUCAAAGUCUGUUUUCUCAAACUUUCUAGAAUAAACACGCAUUACUUUGAUAUCAGUGAAAUCCAUAAAAUGAUGAAAAAUCUUUCCCAUUUUCUUGGCUCUGUGUUGCACAUUCUGCUAGGGGUACAGGCUCAGUGCCUUCCUCUUGAGGAGCUCACAGUGAGGGGGAAAUGCGUGUUCUUUGGAAAAUGUCCCCCAGGCAGUGGAAGGAAUAUCUAUGCUCUUGGGGGCAUGGAGCUGGGGCUUCCAGCUGCAGAGCUGGGCUCAUCCUCUGAAAGGGUGUGUGCAACUGUUGAAGGUUGCUCCCGAGUCUCACAGGAGGGGCUAAUCCUUCCCCUUCUUCAAAUUGCCAGUGUGUGCAAAAUGCUAACACUACACAUUUAAGUGACGUAUAGAUCAGAACAGAAUCAUAGCUUGAUGACAUAAAUUAAAGUAAUUAUAUUCAUUAGCAUGAUAAAAAAUAUGCAAACAAAUGUUUAUUAAAUGCAACCAUACAUCAACUCCAAAGGCUUUGGCGUUGUUUAUGUCUUUGUUGCUUCAGCAUUUUGUCAAAGGUGGCCUGUCAUGCUGAACUUAAUUGACACUAAUAAAAGCGGAGGGAGGAGGAGCCAGCCCAGAAUGUCAUUUGGCUGUGUAAGCUCAGGAGGGUUGAGGAUUUGCCUCCAGGCCUCACUGAGUCUUUCUGCCACUGGCCCUCACGUAGGCUUGGAGAAGGAAGUCCAGGUCUCCUCAUGUUUAAUGGAGGCAGCACUGCCAACCUUAUCGAGAUAUUUGAGGAUGCACACCCAAGGGUCCAGAGUCCCUUUCUCCUACUAUCAGCACCUGAUCAGAUAAAAGGGACCGUUUUCUGUAAGGGUUAGAUAUGUCUUCCCAGCAGCUGUUGUCCCCUCUCUGGCAAGUGGAAGUGCUUGCCUGUGCUCAAGAUGGGAGUAGCAAGGCUGUGGUACACUUGUGUUGGGUGCUGGCUGGUGAACCUGGCAGGCUGCUCUGACAAGGCAUCUUAUUUUCCCUGAAAGCAUCCGAAUACUACCUAGAAGCCUACUCACAAAAAGAGCAGCCUUAGCUGUGAUGCUCAAGUUCACCGAGGGACUUGCUUUGCCAUGAGAACUGGUAUAUCACAGAUUUGCCUCUGAGCGAAGGCCCUGUCCAAUGGGCACAUGGCCAGUAAUUAUUACCAUUGUUUACCAAGCCCUGAAGAGUGUUUAGAAAGAGCCAGGCUGGAAGCAAUUUGAGCAGUCUGUCUGUCUUCUGUCCAGUGUGUGUUGAGUGUAGCUCAGGUGGAGAGUGAAGACCAUGAGGAAAUGUGGAGAGGGAGAUAUGGACAAUAAGCAAGGCAGAUGGUCUAGGGAAGAGAUCAGAGCUGGUCAUUGCUUUCCCUCAGCUUUAUUUUUCUACCUCUGUGUUAUACUUCAAGUUCUAUGAAAACCUUAGUCAGCCUUAGUCAGGAGGAUUUGGCUCUGGUUGUGGACAGUUUGGAGUAUCAUUCAGUCCCAUCCAUCUUGGGGACCUGUUUAUCUCCUAGUCAAGGGGCAGUUGAGCGACUUACUAUGCCACAUCUUGGAUUUGUCUUUUCCGAUUCUUGUCUCUGAUGACCAUUAGGCUCUCUGUCCAGUUUGACUUUUUGGGUCUCACCAGUGCUCCUACAUCUGCCCUUUACAGGAAAAAGAUGUUGUAGAGAACAAGGCUUCUUCAUCUUUAGAAGAUUCCUUCCAUCUUGAAAAGGAAGUAGAAAUGGAAAUGCUGAGAUUCAGAUGUCUGGAGUCACCAUGACCCCCAGAAUAAUAAGAAGAAAAGGUACUCUUUUUAAAACAAGAAAAUACAACCUUGACAGAGAGAAGUGAUUCAUGCCUAAUGGUUCCUGUGAAGGUGUGAGGGGUAAGGACUUCUGUGGAACUGGAGGUCUUUUUGUAAGAAAAGGGAUCAGAAGAUGUGGAGAAACACUGGCUGCACAUGAUGGUGAUAAAUGACGACAGGCCAGGCAUGGCUGGGAAGGAUGCUCCACAUGCUGCUGUCCUACUCCAACAUCUGGCUGGGCAGAUUUGCCUUCUGAGCCCAGGACAUGGCUUGGUGAACAUCUCCAGACAGCACAUCCUCAUCCUAAGGUUAGGUCAGCAGACACCUGCAACAAAUAUGAUUGCAAGGGUGAAGGUGACAUGAUUUACUUAAAUCAGGCAAUUUCUCCAUUAAGGCAUUGAAGCCUCAAUUCAUAAAGACACUCUUUAGCAGGCUGUCUGCAGGCGAGGUCUGUCCUCAGCAAAUCAAAGCAUCGGGGCGCGUGUACCUGCUGCCGUCUCGCCCCUCCUCCGCGACACUGCCCGAGAUUAAGUGUUGAUUCAAUACGAUGCUUCACCUUCUACAAGUGAUGGCGAUAUGUGAAGCACCCUUCUGGGUGUGUCUGCAUGGGUCAUGGAGGACCCACCAUAUUCUGGAAAUAUUGUAUGUCGGUGAAAACCACCUGACACUCACUGGAUUAAACAAGAGGGGAAAAUUUUUGGCCUUUGUAAGCAAAAACAUUCCAAGUCAAAUCUGCUUCAGGUAAGGUUUGAUCCAGCUGAUUAGAAGCUGUCACCCUGGGUCCUGUUGGGAUUGGCUUUAUCAUCAGCUUCCACAUGGUAUAACCUUCUCCUCCCAACAGCUCUAAGAUCUGCUUCCAUGGAUGAGUGUUUCUU
rnacentral:lncRNA from 1 species